GGUCCUGUAGCUCAGUGGUUAGGGCACUAGCCACAUACACUAGAGCUGGCAGGUUUGAACCCGGCCGGGGCCU
rnacentral:tRNA from 1 species